CUCCGAGUGCCCCGGCAGCUUCAGAGCCGUGUGUACGCGUGGGGGGGGAAGGGUAGCAGGACCCUGCGGGCGUCGGCUCGGAAGGGGAGGGGCGCGGCGGUGGGAGGGGUCCGCAGGGUGCCCUGGCCUCCCUGGCGGCCUCGUCUCGCCGGGAAGAUCCGCUUCUGCAUUAGUUGUGCAAAUGAAACGUUCAUGCAAACAGAAGUUCUAUUAGAAGAAAAAAACCCCGAAACCCCGCUCUCUAUCCUCCUCCCUAGAGGCAAAGCUGGGAGAGAGGUGGGUACCUUUCGGGCUGCCUUCCACCCCCCAGCUUUGGGAGACGCAGCCGGUGUGUUUUGUCAACGUGCGUCCACGGGACCCAGAGUCAGAAUAAAAAAAAAUGCAAGCGAGGGACACCUGGGUGGCUCAGUGGUUGUGCACCUGCCUCCAGCCCAGGGCGUGACCUUGGAGACCCGGGAUCCAGUCCCGAGUCCCACGUCGGGCUCCCUGCAUGGGGCCUGCUUCUCCCUCUGCCUGUGUCUCUGCCUUUCCCUCUUUCUGUCUGUGUCUCUCAUGAAUAAAUACAUAAAAUAUUUUUUUAAAAUGCACGCGAAGAUAGCUGGAGAGGCUAAGAGAGCGAAAGGAGGUUGUAAGAAGAAGCAGUGAGAUCCAAGACAGUCUCUUCCCCCAAGCAAAGUUAGGAACCUUAAUACACUAAAUCUAAAAGUUCAGCUUCCUUAGCCAGGUGAAAGAAGUAUCUAUCCUGCCAAGGGUACUUCCCCCAAGUCAGGGACUAACCAAACCCUGCUUAGUCCAGUGGGAUGCCAGCCCUGCUGUUCUUUUCUGGAAAAUGGAGGUAGCAGCUCCAAAUGUGAACAUGAGGAAAUAGUAUGGUCAGUCUCUUAAGUUAGAGAACUUCGCUUUAUUAUUUUUUUAAAGGUUUUAUUUAUUCAUGCAGAGAGAGAGAGAAGCAGAGACACAGGCAGAGAGAGAAGCAGGUCCAUUCAGGGAGCCCGACGUGGGACUCUAUCCCCAUGGGACUCUAUCCCUGUGGGACUGUAUCCCAUGGGACUGUAUCCCUGCCGGACUCUACCCUCGUGGGUCUCUAUCCCCCCACCCACUCUCUCCCCAUGGGACUAUUCCUGUGGACUCUAUCCCAUGGGACUCUAUUACCACGGGACUCUAUCCUCGGGACACUAUCGUCGUGGGUCUCUAUCCUCACCGGGCUCUAUCCACGCGGGACUCUAUCCCCGCGGGCCUCUAUCUCCAUGGGACUGUAUCCCCGGGACUCUAUCCCCGCGAGAACUCUAUCCCGCGGGACUCUAUCCACGUGGGAUUCUAUCCAAUGGGACUCUAUCCCCAUGGGACUCUAUCCCCGUGGGACUCUAUCCCCGGGACUCUAUCCCCGUGAGAUUCUAUCCCCGUGGGACUCUAUCCCCAGGACACUAUCUCCAUUGGGACUCUAUCCCCGUGGGACUCUAUCCCCGCGGGACUAUCCCCGCGGGCCUCUAUCUCCAUGGGACUGUAUCCCCGGGACUCUAUCCCCGUGGGACUCUAUUCCCGUGGGGACUCUAUCCCCGCGGGACUCUAUCCAAUGGGACUCUAUCCCCAUGGGACUGUAUCCCCGCAUGUCUCUAUCCUCAUGGGACUCUAUCCCUGCCCGUCUCUAUCCCCGGGACUCUAUCCCCGCGGGACUCUAUCCCCGCGAGUCUCUAUCCCCGGGACUCUAUCCAUGCGGGACUCUAUCCCUAUGGGACUCUAUCCUCGCGGGACUAUCCCCGAGGGCCUCUAUCCCCGGGACACUAUCCCCAUGGGACUCUAUCCCUGCAUGUCUCUAUCCCAGGGACUCUAUCCCCGCGGGACUCUAUCCCCAUGGGACUCUAUCCACGCGAGACUCUAUCCCCAUGGGACUGUAUCCCCGCCCGUCUCUAUCCCCGGGACUCUAUCCACGCGAGUCUCUAUCCUCGGGACUCUAUCCCCGUGGGACUCUAUCCUCGCGGGACUAUCCCCGAGGCCUCUAUCUCUGUGGGACUCUAUCCCCGCGGAACUCUCCCCAUGGGACUCUAUCCCCGCAUGUCUCUAUCCCUGGGACUCUGUCCCUGUGGGACUCUAUCCCCGGGACACUAUCCCCAUGGGACUCUAUCCCCGCAGGUCUCUAUCCCCGUGGGAUUCUAUCCCCGUGGGACUCUAUCCUCGCAGGACUAUCCCCGUGGGACUCUAUCCCCAUGGGACUCUAUCCCCGUGGGAUUCUAUCCCCGUGGGACUCUAUCCUCGUAGGACUAUCCCCGUGGGACUCUAUCCCCAUGGGACUCUAUCCCCGCAUGUCUCUAUCCCCGGGACUCUAUCCCCGCGGGACUCUAUCCCCGCGAGUCUCUAUCCCCGGGACUCUAUCCAUGCGGGACUCUAUCCCUAUGGGACUCUAUCCUCGCGGGACUAUCCCCGAGGGCCUCUAUCCCCGGGACACUAUCCCCAUGGGACUCUAUCCCUGCAUGUCUCUAUCCCAGGGACUCUAUCCCCGCGGGACUCUAUCCCCAUGGGACUCUAUCCACGCGAGACUCUAUCCCCAUGGGACUGUAUCCCCGCCCGUCUCUAUCCCCGGGACUCUAUCCACGCGAGUCUCUAUCCUCGGGACUCUAUCCCCGUGGGACUCUAUCCUCGCGGGACUAUCCCCGAGGCCUCUAUCUCUGUGGGACUCUAUCCCCGCGGAACUCUCCCCAUGGGACUCUAUCCCCGCAUGUCUCUAUCCCUGGGACUCUGUCCCUGUGGGACUCUAUCCCCGGGACACUAUCCCCAUGGGACUCUAUCCCCGCAGGUCUCUAUCCCCGUGGGAUUCUAUCCCCGUGGGACUCUAUCCUCGCAGGACUAUCCCCGUGGGACUCUAUCCCCAUGGGACUCUAUCCCCGCAUGUCUCUAUCCCUGGGACUCUAUUCCCCCGUGGGACUCUAUCCCCGUGGGACUCUAUCCUCGCGGGACUAUCCCCGAGGGCCUCUAUCUCCGUGGGACUCUAUCCCCAUGGGACUCUAUACCCGCAUGUCUCUAUCCCUGGGACUGUAUCCCCAGUGGGACUCUAUCCCCACGGGACUCUAUCCCCAUGGGACUCUAUCUCUGCGCGUCUCUAUCCCCGGGACUCUAUCCCCGGGACACUAUCCCCAUGGGACUCUAUCCCCGUGGGACUCUAUCCCCGCGGGUCUCUAUCCCCGUGGGACUCUAUCCUCGCAGGACUAUCCCCGCGGGCCUCUAUCUCCUUGGGACUCUAUUCCCGGGACUCUAUCCCGUGGGACUCUAUCCCCAUGGGACUCUAUCCCCGCAUGUCUUUAUCCCUGGGGCUCUAUCCCCGCGGGACUCUAUCCCCAUGGGACUCUAUCCCUGCGCGUCUCUAUCCCCGGGACACUAUCCCCAUGGGACUCUAUCCCCGUGGGACUCUAUCCCCGUGGGAUUCUAUCCCCGCGGGCUUCUAUCUCCUUGGGACUCUAUUCCCAGGACUCUAUCCCCGCAGGACUCUAUCCCCAUGGGACUCUAUCCCCGCGCAUCUCUAUCCUCAUGGGACUCUAUUCCCGCGCGUCUCUAUCCCCAGGACUCUAUCCCUGUGGGACUCUAUCCCCGCGGGACUCUAUCGCUGAGGGACUCUAUCCUCGCGGGACUCUAUCCCCAUGGGACUCUAUCCCCGUGUCUCUAUCCCCUUGGGACUCUAUCCCCGUGGGACUCUAUCCCCGGGACACUAUCCCCGUGGGACUCUAUCCACGCGGGACUCUAUCCCCGCGCGACUAUCCCCGCGGGCCUCUAUCUCCAUGGGACUGUAUCCCCGGGAUUCUAUCCCCCUGGGACUCUAUCCCGGUGGGACUCUAUCCCGGCCAGGACUCUAUUCCCGCGGGACUCUAUCCACGUGGGACCUCCCCACCCCCCCACCCCCCCACCCCCACCGCUGCCCCAGAACUUUGUUUUAAAGAGUGCUGUUUGUUUGACAAUAAGGUUUUGCUGAUAUGAUUUUCCUGUAAAUAUUCUGGUUGUAGGUCACUGUGAAAGAAGCCUCUGUUUUCUGACCUCUUCUCAAAGAACCUUGUCUUUGUACAACAGCUGUGAGGUUAGAAAAGUCUUCAGAGGUUUUUUGAUACAACCCUCCCUUCCCCCAAAUCAUUAGGACUGUAAUAAUAAGAUAAUAAAAUCAAUCACGCAGACUGUAUCCCAAUUCAUCGGACACCAUUAGACAAAAAACAGUUUUGGGGGGGGCAAGUGGAACUCAUUUAAAAAUUAAUUGUACUCUGACAAUUUUGGAAUUCUUUUGCUUAAGAAAAACAGAAGUUUGGAGGGUCAGAGUUCAGAGCCAACAGAAGCUCCUUUUGGUGUGUUUUGUUUUCCUGGCACCUGCCUCCUUGGGUUUGAAUUCCUGGGAGAAGCAUUUUCCUGUCUGUGAAGUGGGAGGUGGUUCCAGGGAACAUCAUGUUUCCAUUGGCAAAUACUAGUUAUUACAGUUAGAACUCCCAAUUUGAGUAUUUUUGUUGAGCAAGAACCAAGGAAAAUGUUUUCUUUGUUAAACGUGUUUAUGAAGUGUCUUAAAUUGUGCUGGUUAGCUAGUAGGCCUCAAUUCAAUGCAACAAAUAUUUAUUGCCAAUGGGCUCUGUGCCCAGCUGGGGGCACAGAGCUUGUCGGGGUUAUAAAGAUUAAAAAAACAAAAAACAAUCUCUGCUCUCAAGUCGCUGUCAGUUGUACUCAGGAAAAGGGGGCACACUCUCAGUUGUUUUAUCAGGAAAUUCUAUUUAAGUGCCUAUUACAUGUUGGGCAUUGUUCGGAGCUACUUGGCGGGAAAGAUAUCUAUACCAUCAUUAAGUCUCAUAUAUAUUUUUCAAGCUAUGGAUAAACAAGAGUGGACACAGAAAUCAGUCUUAUGGGGCAAGAUGAGUAAGAAAAAAACAUUGGGAUAGAAUACAAAAUACCAGAAUUCAUCUCAUGUAAGUGUAGUAAGGUUAAGUUUACUUUGUGAAAUCUUUUUUUUUAAUAUAUCAUUUUUUUCUAUUGUGGACUAAAUAUUAGGUAUCUGUGAUGCACACUGCCAUACCUUUCUUUUUGUUUUUAUCAAGGGUUGUAACUUUAGGAUUUUUAUAAAAAUGAUACCCGACCAAUAUGGAUUCAGGUAAUAUAGUUUUAAAAAAAGUAACAUAGGACCCUAAUCUGGCCACCCAGAAAUAACCAGGGUUGAGAUUUGGUGAACAUCAUUCCAGGUGUCUAUGCUGAUAAAAAAAGAUGGGUACACAGGCAUCAUUUUACUUGGAUGUAUUAUAUUUAUUUUCCCCUCAGAACUGAAUCAACAUCGUUUUCAUUGUCUUCUAACAUUGAAUAUUGUCAGGGAAAAAUGUAAGGCUAGUGGUUUUUUUCCUUCUGUAUUUUCUGUCUGGAAAGCUUAAGAAAUCUUUGUGUACCCAAACUAAAAUUCCAGAAUAUAAACUUUUUGGAGGCAAGGAUUUAUAUCUUGUGUGUUUACUGCUGUACUUCUAGGCCUAGAAUAUUGCCUAGUGUAGAACAAACAUAAUAAAUAUCUGUCACAUGAAUGAAUGCGUACUGUGUUGCCAUAUAAGGUGUAUUUCUUAGUAUGCUUUAUAUAACAUAUAAAUGUCUGAAAAACUGUAGUCUAGCAGGUCACACAAGACAUGAGUAGACCGUGAAAAUGCAGGUGUAUGUUGGAAUGCAUAUGUAAACAGAAUGGUGUGUGUCUGGAGGAGGCAGCGAAGGCUUCAUGGAGGAGGUGGCUUCCAGGGCUGACAUUUAUUUAUUUAUUUAUUUUUUAAAAGAUUUUAUUUAUUUAUUCAUAUAAACACACACACACACACACACAGAGAGAGAGAGAGAGAGAGAGGCAGAGGCACAUGCAGAGGGAGAAGCAGGCUCCAUGCAGGGAGCCUGAUGUGGGAAUCGAUCCAGGGUCCCCAGGAUCAAACCCCAGGCUGCAGGGGGCGCUAAACCGCUGCGCCACCGGGGCUGCCCCAGGGCUGACUUUUAAAGGAGGAGUUGGAAUAUAUGGGGCCUCACAUGUAUGUGAUCUGGACCUAAGGAAUAGCAUAUAUCAAGAAGUGAGGGAGCAUAGCCUAUUUCUUUAAAAAAAAAAAAGAGUGGUUUAGUAUCGUGGAGUUUAAAAUACGGGUUCAGAGAGAAGUGCAUGGAGAUGAGAUUGGACAGGUUGCUGGGGGCAGGACACAGUGGGCGUUACUCACAUGGCAAAUUAGGCCUUUAUUAGGUGCUAGACAGGGUCCCAGGGGUAUAAGGAUGAGCAAAAGGGCUGGUUCCUGCUCUCAGGAAGCUUAUACUCUAACGACAUUUUGGUAUAAUAUAGUUAAGUAUUAUGAUGAGUGCUCUUGAUCUCAGAAGAGGUCCAACAUAAGAAGCAUCUGUCUUCUCCAGUUUGAAAAAUACGACUACAGACUGAGGCCAAAGUGUCACUUGUUACCAUUCCACGUGAGAGCCAGCUGCCCCUGUUACCUGUUACCCGGACCUCCUGCAUUAGGCAGACUUGCUGCUUCAGAAGGACAGCAGAAUUGCUCUCUCAGGGCAGCUGACUCAAGAGGAGGAAGGUGUAAGGUAAAAUAAUUGGUGUGCCCAAUUAUUCUUUCAGUAUUUACCAGUCAGAUAUACUAUCUCUGUGGAGACAGGGAAACUAAGGGUGUGCAGAGAAGCCUGGGGUUGCAGGGAAACAUCUGGGUCAGGAGAGAAGCAUUUCCCAACCCCCAGUGGGAGGAGUGUGCAAUUUUAUGGGAAUGUGUUUUGGAGUACACACCUAGGCUGAAACCUGAAGGAUGAAUAGGAGUUAGCCAAGGGGAGGAGUAUGAGUAAGGAAGUUCUAGGUGGGAGAGGGGCCUAUGUGAUGGGUCCAGGCUAAAGUGUACAGGUAGAGAGUGGAGAGGCAAGCUGGUGAACAGCCAGUGGGCCACACUGAGGAGUGAGAGCUCCGUCCUGACAGCGUGGGUGGGAGUGGCGGUAAAAAUAGAGGCAUGUAGUCAAAUCCGGGUACUCUUCUCUCCAUGGUGGCCUCAGAUAGGAGUGGCUGUGGAUGCCUAGAGACUCCAAGUCAAGGGAUAUUUAGGAGGUAAAUUGAGAGGCCUUGUGAUUGGUUGUUGGUGUGCAAGAAGAAGGAAGAUUGGGCCAUGUUGAGGUGAUACGGCACCAUCACAGUUGUGAGCAGGGAAGUGAUAUUUAACAGGUAAGACUUGAUCUAGGAAGACCACAAGUCCAAACAAAAGCAAUGGGGUCUGCACAUGGGAGCUAUUUAGGACUAAACUAGAUGACUUUGGUUUGGAUGUGCGGUAUGAGACGGAAGCCCUGAUUUCUGUCUUUGGCCCCUGAGCUAAGGGCAGUGGCAGUGAGAGAGGGCACUUGCAGGGGGACGUUGGCUACAGGGAUGGAGAUGAGAAUGUUCACUGUGUCUGGGAGUGUUAGGAAAGGCAUCGGAACUCUCAGAACUAACUUCGAGUGAUGAGUGUUGUAUGAUGUGGGAUCGAUCUGGUAUAAAUAGGGAGGUAGAAGACAGUCUAUAUUUGGGGAACCCUGAGUGUUUUGUUUUCCUGAGUGCAGAUUUCCAGGAGGUAAAGCAGAAGGAGAAGAGGCGGCAGAGAUGGGCAAGAGCCAAGUCACAAAGACUUAACGAGCUGUGUGAAGCUAAGGAAUCUGGACUUUGUGCAGCUCCCAGGAGCCGUAGAUCGAGCUUAAGGUGAAAAGUGCCAUGAGCAGGUUUGCAGUAUUCUGGAGACAGACUGGAGAGAGGAGACGCUGGCGGCCAGAGACAAGCUUUUCCAUCUAUAAAUUGGGGAUAACAGCAGAAUUCACCAUAUAGGAUUGUUGUGAGUUUUUCAGUUAUGGAACACAAAUGUUGUAUCAAAACAAUGAAGCUUUUCAGUCUAAAUUCUUCCCACCCCUUCAAAAAGCGAUGCUACCGCCCAAUAGUUUUCAAGGAAAAGUGGCAUUUAUUACAGGAGGAGGUACU